AUACCUAUUCCCCACAUGGCUUCUCCCCAGCCACGCUGCCGCCCACAAGGUCGCCUCCACCAGUCUACUAGCGGCAGAUCGAAGUCGGACUGGACCCACCUAGAUCCACUUCUGUGGACAUCACCGCCACACAUCCCGUAGGCGAGGAACAAUCGGAGGGUGGAGAAGGUAGUUCUCUGCCCAUCCCAAACCGGUGACACUACUGCUCCGACCGUCGUGUCCCACCAUUAUCCCAACAUCAGAGGUCCGUCUAGGUCUGCACGUGUUGAGCUCCUCCCUCCCGUGGCGGCCGAGGUUACCCUUAUGGCGUGACAGCGAGGAAGGAAGGUUCACGCAGGAAGCAGCCCAGGUGUUUGAUGGAAUUCUGAGAAGUGGCGUAAAAAAUCUUAUAUUGGUCAACACCACCAGCUGGGCAGGUGAUGUUUCCAAUGGUAGAGUGAGGUACCUGAAGAGAAUAUGCGGUAUAUUAUGUGGUAACUGCAAAUUCAUAGCCGUGGGCACCUUACAAAUCCUUUUGCAUUACUUCAGAUCAAAUUCAGGCCAACUUAGUUAACUUUUAGUGUAGUUAACUAGAAGCCAUCUUGAGCUGCCAUUCAUUUUUCAGACUUAUGUGUAGUGUGCAUUUUCUCGUUCUAAUGCCAAUAAUUUGAAGGAUGGACUUGAACUGUAUGUGUAAAUAAUGUUAUGGAUAUUUACACAGGGAACUAUCAUAUGAAUCAAAUUGAGGACAGAUGAGGU